rnacentral:rRNA from 1 species
GCUCGAUGUUUCUAAAAGAGAUGUCCAAACAUACACAUGAUAUCUUAGCAUGUGCACAAAUCUGUCGCCAGGAUUUGCUUUGGGUCGCUUGCUAUGGUUUUUUGGCACCCACCCUUUAUUGCUUUGUUUUGCUUAGUUACAGUUGUAUGUGUAGAGAAGUUGAGGAAAGAACUUUGAUUUCUAGCUAGGUUCAGAAAGAGAAAUAAAUGUUAUGUGGGGAGUUCGGUAUAAAAUACAUUCGGUUUCUGGAAGAAGUCAAUAGUACUGUUUAGACCUCAAGAAUGCACACAACCAAAAUACUAAAAGAUAGAACAAAAACAUAACAUACAAUUGCCACGCAGAUCGAGAAUCAGCACGUUACAACGAUAUUCAAUUUCUUUACAUGUCGAUGACAACAUAUUCAGUAUUCACUGUGAGAUUAGCCCUGCGAAGUAGUGCCUUAUAUAAAGGAAUGGAAGCUGUCAUAAUUUCCGGUGCCAACCAUUUAUGACCAUAUGUCUAGAAUUCUCACUUCGGAAAUGCAUUUUUUUGAUAAAGGGUGUUUUAUUGCUUCAAUAAUUUAAGCAUUACAUCCGACCUCUGCAUAACUGAGAUGCACAAGCCAUAACCAAGUUCAAGUUCCAAGAAAUCGGAAAAGGCGGAAUACAAGAUACUCCCUCCGUUUCUUUGUACUCCGCAUAUAAGAUUUGGUCAAAGUCAAACUACACAAAGUUUGACCAAAUUUAUAUAAAAAUAUAUAUAAACAUCUACAAUAUUAAAACUAUAUAGUAUGAAAAUACAUUUCGCGGUGCAUCCGAGAAUAUUGAUUUCAUAUUGUCAAUAUUUAUGUUUUUUAAUAUAAAGUUAGUCAAACUUUAUAAAACUUGACUUUGACCAAACCUUAUAUGCAGACUAAAAAGAAACGAAGGGAGUACAUGCAUAUUAAUGAAACUACAAACUAGUGGCCCGGAUCAUCUACUAACGAAUAAAUCUAGGAACAAAUUGGAAGAGACUAUGCCAUAAAGCAAUCGUUAUCAUUUCAAGUAAAGUUUAUGCAAAAUCGAGAAGUGUCGUUAUCCUUUAACUUGCAUGUUACAUUUCUAAUAUAUUUGACGGUAUCAAAAACAUGCACUUGACGCCUAAACAAUCAAGCCUGAAAUUAGCACCAAUAAUAUCCUGGCAGUUUUUCAGUCACAAACAAGUCUUCCUCAUUUGGCCGUCUCUUUUUUGCCAUUCCUAGCUAGCUUUGGUUGUAUGCAUUCACACACCUGGGUCUUGGACUACCUGCAUGUUUAGAACAAAAUUUCCCUAGACUUACUCAUAGUAGAAGCUUUUUCGAAAACAAAUUGUAGAACUGAGAUGAACCAAUUAUAUAGAGAAAACAAAAGAAGCCGGCUGACGUUGGUCGCAAAAAAAAAGGCUGAUGCAAUCAUCCUCAUCAGACGAUCAAUCAAGUAACUCCAGUUUCUACCACGCAAAGAAAAGGUCCCGGUUCUAACAACACCAAUUCAUCAACACUCAAUUCCACAGUUUCCACCCAAAACUAAUACAAAACCACCACGCACCGAUCGAAAAAUCCCAAACAAAAGGACUGAGCCUAACCUUUUUUUUUCAUUUCAAAAGAAAAGGGGGAAAAUAUUAAGCAGCACACAUGUGCCUCAACCGCGAGCAGCUGGGCAGCCGGUAAAAGGAGUAAGCUAGAUGUUACCUUGUGAUUCUUGUGGAUGAUCCAUCUCUGUUUAAUUACCUCCUGGCAUGGCCAGGUCGGACGGAAGAGAUGGACGGCCGGAGGCGGAGGCAAGGGGAGAAUUCCAGAGGGAUUGCACUGAUCCAUCGAUCUUGAGCGCCGGUUACGGAGAGAUGGAUCAAUGCGAUCCCUUUGGAAUCCUCCACUAGCUUCCUGAAAGCUUAAUUUGGAUCUCUAGCUAGCUAAUCACUUGCAUCGAUCCAUGAUGACUGGAAUUGCUUUCCUAUUCUAGCUGUGCAGAUGGAGUUUCCAUGUGCAUGGCAGCUAUGUGAGCUAG